rnacentral:rRNA from 1 species
UGGGGAAUUUUCCGCAAUGGGCGAAAGCCUGACGGAGCAAUGCCGCGUGGAGGUGGAAGGCCUACGGGUCGUCAACUUCUUUUCUCGGAGAAGAAACAAUGACGGUAUCUGAGGAAUAAGCAUCGGCUGACUCUGUGCCAG